AAUUCGAUUAGAGUUUGAUCCUGGCUCAGAUUGCCCUUGCUAAAAGGCAUGCCUUACACAUGCAAGUCGAACGGCAGCACGGGAGCUUGCUCCUGGUGGCGAGUGGCGAACCUCCUGAGUUAUACAUCGGAACGUACCCAGGAGUGGGGGAUACUGUAUCGAAAA
rnacentral:rRNA from 1 species